rnacentral:lncRNA from 1 species
UUUUCUUUCAUGUUACUCCCUCCAGUAAGUGACAGAACUUAAUUCUUAUCUCCUUGAAUGUGGUCUGAAAUUAUUGAUUUCCUUUUUACAACUGGGAAAGGAAAAAUAGUAACUUUACAGUAAAGACAACUGGCAGAUACCACUCUAAGUGAUCCAGGAGAAAUAAGAAGAUUAGAAACACAGAGACAGGGACAUGACCAUGUGAACACCCAUGUGAAGAUGGAGGCAGAGACUGAAGUUAUUCUGCCACAAGGCAAGGAAUGCCAGGAGACACCAGAUUCUGGGAGAGGCAAAUAAAGAUUCUCCCCUAAAGCCAUCAGUGUGAGUGUGGCCAUGUCAACACCUUGAUUUAAGAUUGCUGAUGCCAGAAC